UGGCAUAUGUUUUUGCAGCUGUCAUAUACCCUUCAUUAAGGUUACUUCAAGGCGAGUUUAAUAAUGAUAAAAGAAACAGUUGUGCAGAACUGAGCAGAAAGAGGCUUGAAAAGGUUCUCAGUAAAGAUCUAGAGGGAGAUGAGGAAUGUGGCAUAUGCAUGGAAAACGGCAUGAAGAUGGUUCUGCCUAAUUGUGGACAUUCUUUGUGCAUUAGCUGCUUCCAUGAUUGGUAUAUGAGAUCAGAAUCAUGCCCAUUUUGCCGUGGAAACCUGAGGAGGAUCAAUCCUAGAGAUUUAUGGGUGGUUAUUGGCAGCAGUGAUGUGGUUGACAGGAUUACCAUUGCAAAGGAGAAUUUAAGAUGUCUCUACCUUUACAUUGAAACUCUGCCUCCAAUCAUAUCGGAUGCACAUGUACAUACAUUCAAUUACAUGCAAUAACUUGAAGAAAAACGGUGCUAAAUGUUAAUUAUAAUUAUUAUUAUGCAAUUGAAAGAAUACAAUUAUA